rnacentral:rRNA from 1 species
ACGGGAGGCAGCAGUGGGGAAUAUUGCACAAUGGGCGCAAGCCUGAUGCAGCAACGCCGCGUGAGGGAAGACGGUUUUCGGAUUGUAAACCUCUGUCUUUGGUGACGAAGAAGUGACGGUAGCCAAGGAGGAAGCCACGGCUAACUACGUGCCAGCAGCCGCGGUAAUACGUAGGUGGCAAGCGUUGUCCGGAUUUACUGGGUGUAAAGGGUGCGCAGGCGGGACUGCAAGUUGGAUGUGAAAUACCGAGGCUUAACCUCGGGGCUGCAUCCAAAACUGUGGUUCUUGAGUGGAGCAGAGGUAAGCGGAAUUCCGAGUGUAGCGGUGAAAUGCGUAGAUAUUCGGAGGAACACCAGUGGCGAAGGCGGCUUACUGGGCUCUAACUGACGCUGAGGCACGAAAGUGUGGGUAGCAAACAGGAUUAGAUACCCUGGUA